GGUGCAGGUGAUGAUUUCAAGCGACCAAAGCCUGAGAGUUUGUGAUUACAACUUUUUUCGUAGCUGAUGCACC